rnacentral:sRNA from 1 species
GGGCGUGUGGCCGCGGGUUUCGCACGGCCCAAUAGGGGAGGGCGGCGUGGCCCGGCCUGGUAGCGACGAGGACGCGCCUGCGCAGAGGCGGCAGCACCACCGGGGUUGACUCCGGGGGCGCGGCGAGGAGAGACAUGAGGCUGAGCUGGGUCCGGGUCCUGACAGUACUGUCCAUCUGCCUGAGCGCCGUGGCCACGGCCACGGGGGCCGAGGGCAAAAGGAAGCUGCAGAUCGGGGUCAAGAAGCGGGUGGACCACUGUCCCAUCAAAUCGCGCAAAGGGGAUGUCCUGCACAUGCACUACACGGGGAAGCUGGAAGAUGGGACAGAGUUUGACAGCAGCCUGCCCCAGAACCAGCCCUUUGUCUUCUCCCUUGGCACAGGCCAGGUCAUCAAGGGCUGGGACCAGGGGCUGCUGGGGAUGUGUGAGGGGGAAAAGCGCAAGCUGGUGAUCCCAUCCGAGCUAGGUAAGAGGUCCCUCCUGAGGGUGCAGAGCGAGUUUGGGGUGUGUGACUGGGAAGGGUGAAAGCUGCUUCAGCUUUUCAUUGGUCUUCACCAUAUCCAUUCAUUACAAUACAUGCCUCCUCCAAGUUUGGCUGUGUCUAGCAGUGAGUACAGGGCAAGAUCAUUGAAGCACUC